rnacentral:rRNA from 1 species
ACGCUCGACACCUACGGGGGCAGCAGUGAGGAAUAUUGGUCAAUGGGCGCUAGCCUGAACCAGCCAAGUAGCGUGAAGGAUGAAGGCUCUAUGGGUCGUAAACUUCUUUUAUAUAAGAAUAAAGUGCAGUAUGUAUACUGUUUUGUAUGUAUUAUAUGAAUAAGGAUCGGCUAACUCCGUGCCAGCAGCCGCGGUAAUCUGAGCGGGCGUGGCGAAGGC